AGCUCCAAUAGCGUAUAUUAAAGUUGUUGCAGUUAAAAAGCUCGUAGUUGGAUUUAUGGUCAGAGUGGCCGGUCUGGCACGAACGUGCUAGUACUUUGUGCUGCCUUUGGCCUUCCUUUGGGAGAGCUUGUGUGGGCAUUCAUUUUGUCUGUGCAAGGGACCCCAAUCAUUUACUGUGAAAAAAUUAGAGUGUUUCAAGCAGGCAUUUGCUGUGAAUACAUUAGCAUGGAAUAAUAAGAUAGGACUUUGGUGCUAUUUUGUUGGUUUGCACACCAAGGUAAUGAUUAACAGGGACAGUUGGGGGUAUUCGUAUUUAAUUGUCAGAGGUGAAAUUCAUGGAUUUAUGAAAGACGAACUACUGCGAAAGCAUUUACCAAGGAUGUUUUCAUUGAUCAAGAAC
rnacentral:rRNA from 1 species